UACGUAGGUGGCAAGCGUUAUCCGGAUUUACUGGGUGUAAAGGGCGUGUAGGCGGGAAGGCAAGUCAGAUGUGAAAACUAUGGGCUCAACCCAUAGCCUGCAUUUGAAACUGUUUUUCUUGAGUGCUGGAGAGGCAAUCGGAAUUCCGUGUGUAGCGGUGAAAUGCGUAGAUAUACGGAGGAACACCAGUGGCGAAGGCGGAUUGCUGGACAGUAACUGACGCUGAGGCGCGAAAGCGUGGGGAGCAAACAGG
rnacentral:rRNA from 2 species